rnacentral:misc_RNA from 1 species
AACGCACAUUGCGCCCCGGGGUAUUCCCCAGGGCAUGCGUGGGUGAGCGAUAUUUACUCUCAAACCUCCGGUUUGGUCCUGCUUCGGCAUAAUAUCAACGGCGCUAGAAUAAGUUUUAGCCCCAUUCUUCUUCCUCACCCUCGUAAGACUACCCGCUGAACUUAA